rnacentral:rRNA from 1 species
AAAUUGAAGAGUUUGAUCAUGGCUCAGAUUGAACGCUGGCGGCAGGCCUAACACAUGCAAGUCGAACGGUAACAGGAAGCGCUUGCUGCUUCGCUGACGAGUGGCGGACGGGUGAGUAAUGUCUGGGAAACUGCCUGAUGGAGGGGGAUAACUACUGGAAACGGUAGCUAAUACCGCAUAACGUCGCAAGACCAAAGA